AUCAAGUACAUGGGUUGGGGAACGAACUAGAGAGCCCAACCCAACCCACUUAAUGCUUGUAUAAAGGUGAGGAGGGGACUAUAACCCUAAUACUAAUGAAUUUUCCCUGUUACAAAGUGAAGGUUGGGCUUUCAUCGAGAGUUGGUGUGCGUGAGUGGUGUUUGGCGUGAAGUCCUCAUAGUAUUAUAUGGCGAGGAAUUUAUCGGGUAUAAUACGACAAAGUUGUAUAUCUUGAGAUUAUAUUGGAAAAAUCCACAAUUUUUUAAAAAAUUUAAAACAUUUAAUAAAUCCUGAAAAUUAUAAAAGAGAAAAAAUCAUAAAAAAUAUGAAAAAAAAUGCAAAAAACGCUUUUCACGUUUUUUAUUUCUGGCGUAAAAAAAAGACGAGUUUUUUCGGGCCCGGCUUGGGUGUCAAAUAACCAGCCCAAGCCCGGCCCAUCACAAGCCAGGUACCGAACUACCCAUCGAAUACUCGGGCUGUUGCCCACCCUUAAUCGAGGCCUCAUCCGCAUUUCUCUCUCUUUCUCCAAAACAACAAGCGUCCUUGAACACCAGGAAUGAGAAGUUCAAUCAAAAGCAAACAAACUAAUUUCAUUCCAGUGUUUGAAAGGCCUUCUUUCGUUUAGGUUGUGUUCAUCUCAAAUUCGCGGUGAUUUGAGAUCUCCAUGGAUUUAGGGUCAAACCUCCCCUUUCCAUCUAAACUUGAAAGCCAUGGUUUUUAACAUGUAGCAUGAAUCCGUGUUACCAUUUAAACUGAGGAUUUCCUAAAACGUACCUUUUAAUACAGUCUUGGAUCUAAGAUUUGAGGCUAUUUAGAUCCAAGGCUAUCAAACCCAACCUUAGUGUCCAAGGCAAAUGGGCGCCCAAGGAUCGUGGUAUCUGAAGCGGAUUUUCGAAGCAUCACCAAAUCCUUUCAAUGGUCUGCAAUGUGCUGUUUUAUGGGGCCAUUGGUUAAGGUUAGUGGCAAUCUCUCCAAGCUUCUUUCUGGAUUGAAUCUACAAUGGAAGGGGAAAAUUCCCCUCCAAAUCUCCCUUUUCAGUAAGGGUGACUUUCUGGUAAGGGUUUCUAACGAGGACAAGUUGAAUCUCGUCCUGAAGAAUAGGGCUUGGCGUGUAGGAGGGAAAGUUCUGGUGGGAAUCAGAUGGUUCCCCGACAUGCCCGAUUGAAAUCAAUUCUUCGGUCACCGUCCCUCCUUGGGUCAGGUUGCCAGGUUUGGCUCCCUAUUUUUCGAAUAGGAGAAUACUUUGUGGAGUGGCGACGGAUUUACAGGGGUAGUUCAUAGAAGCUGAUUUCCCCAUUUUGCAAAUAUCGUGAACCAAUUUUGCCCGGAUACUCCUGGAUCUUCCCAUGCAGUCCAAUCUCCCUCCUGCAGUGGAAAUAGACUUGGGUGGUGGCCAAAUUCUUACUCAGCCAGCAGUAUAUGAAGGGUGUCUCAGAUUUUACCCUGCUUGUGGAGUAAACUCUCGUCCACCAAAACUCUGCCCUAAAAUGCAGCAACCUGAAGCUGUUGGCUGUGAUUCCGGAAAGACCUGGUCUGGGAUGGGGAGAGCAGUGGAUGAUUGCAACCCAUCUGGUAUUAUUCCGUGAACUUCAUGUCAAGGAAUGUCAGGAGACAGAUUAGACGGGAGGCUAACCAAGAUCUUUCUUCUCUUUUGUAUGAUUUCCAUCCUGCCUGGUUUUGCCUUAUCGACUCAAUGCUGUUAUUCAAAGUUCUCAUGCUGGCAGCGGAAGAUUGAGAAAUUACGCUACUGUUUCAAGCCUGGAUUUUGCUCAUGGCGCUGCGCACAUCGUAUGUGCUUGGGACCCAACCGGAUUGGUAGCUUAAGUUGUAGUCUUAGAUACUUUUUGGAUUUUUCUAAAAUGUUCCAGGAGGGGAUCAGAUGAGAGUUUCUACGCGGGGGUAUCUAUCUCCCUAUGGAUCCUAGGGUGGGGCAAGAAGCUAUCCAACAGUUGCAAGGUCUCCUUUGGCCGCUGGGGAAGCCUGUGCUUUUAAUGGGAGACUUUAACUGCAUGAGGGGUCUUCAAGAUAAGUCGGGCAAAAGCCCUUCUUCCCUCUCCUGUAGAAAAUUUCCCUGUUUAUUGCUAAUUGUAAUCUCCAUCCGCUGGAUGACCCUCUUAAAAGGUUUACUUGGUCGAACGAUCGGAUAGGGGGAGAGACCAUCUUCUGUCGCUUGGACUGGUGUCUGUUGAGCAGAAGACAUGUUUUCCAUGGCGAAGCAGAUUUGGUGGAAGUGUGUUUUUCCUCUUUUGAAGCUCUCUUCAUGCACAAUUCUGAGGACCUGGAAGAAAUGGGAACAUGGUUGACAACUGAUGAUCAUACCUGGAAGAUGGCCAGGCUUGAACGUGAAUCAAGGGAGGAUCCAGGUGGCCACCAAGGUUUUGUAGGGUGCUUGCUGGAUUGCGUUGGCUCAAACAACAAGAACGGGUUUGCACUGGCUUAAAACCAAAGUCAUGGGUGGACGGGUGAGGCUCCACGCUCCCCAAAUCUUGCUGCAAAAUUCUCGCCGUUUUCGCAUCACUAAUGCAAACCCAAAUAUGCAGGUUAUGUCUUUGUUGCCUUUGCUGUAAUCUUUAAUGUGGUGUUCCACCUUCUACUUAGUGGUUUGGUUUUUGGUAAUUGAUUAAUCAUAUUCUUGGAGGGAUCCUCCAGCAGCUUUGAUGUUCUGCCAUUUUCCCAUGGAUGGUUGCUUCCCUGUUGGGAAAAUUACAUGUAAAAACUAUUUAUCUAAACUUUUAUUUAUCUAAA